rnacentral:tRNA from 1 species
GGGUGCAAGGCGGAUACGGCUGGCCGCGCCUGUCUGUAGAACAGUGUUCCCCUUCGGGGAGUCGGGGUUCGAAUCCCCGGGCACCCACCA